GGCCUGGCCGGUCGGUCCGCUUAACAGCGUGUACUGCUUGGCCGGGCCUUCUCUCUUGGUGAUCCGGCAUGCUCUUUACUGGGUGUGUCGGGGAACCAGGAUCUUUACUUUGAAAAAAUUAGAGUGUUCAAAGCAGGCCUAUGCCCGAAUAUAUUAGCAUGGAAUAAUAAAAUAGGACGUGCGGUUCUAUUUUGUUGGUUUCUAGGAUCGCCGUA
rnacentral:rRNA from 1 species